GCCGUCUGUGAUCACAGCCUGCGACACGAAAGGCCUGGUGACGUCCUCGUGGUUCCAGAAACCUGCAGCGGUGAGAGGGAAGGAUGAAGCCAUUUCUCCCCUUAGGCUGUGUGCAGGUGAUGUCUCUUCUCCGAGUUGAUAACUCACCCUGGUACAUGGCCUGAGCUCCUGUCCAGGCGAAGAGGCUGGUGAGAGCAUUGGCUCUGAGGAAGACCUCCACCUGAUCAGACAGCUGCUGCCGGGCCAUCCGGUCUCUGUGGUAUCGAUCAGGCACCAGGUGGAACUGAGUGUGACCGUAGCAUGCCGGGUCUGGUAGCUUGGCACCUGUUGAUAAGGAUAAUAAGUUUAGAAUUGAAAACCUUUUACAUAUCAUAAUGAUUACUGUUAUAAAACAUAAUUCUGUUCUUUGUA